GUGCUAGUUUUGGUACAUGUACUAAACUCAGAAGGAUAUAGAAAAGAUUAGCUUGGCCCUGAACAAGGAUGACACAAAAGUUCAUAAGCAUUUCACAUUUUAU